rnacentral:rRNA from 1 species
AAUGAACGUUGGCGGCGUGGAUUCGGCAUGCAAGUCGUGCGAGAAACGUAGCAAUACGGGGACAGCGGCGAAAGGGAGAGUAACGCGUGGAUACCUACCCCCAGGACCAGGAUAGCCGCGGGAAACUGCGUGUAAUACUGGAUAAUGUCCCCGGCCCACAGGUGUGAUUCCGCCCGGGGCUGGGACCGCGUCCUAUUCGCCAAUUGGUAGGGUAAUGGCCUACCAAGGCAAAGAUGGGUAUUGGGUGUGAGAGCAUGCCCCCACUCACUGGGACUGAGACACUGCCCAGACACCUACGGGUGGCUGCAGUCGAGGCUCUUCGGCAAUGGGCGCAAGCCUGACCGAGCGACGCGGCGUGCGGGAUGAAGGCCUUCGGGUUGUAAACCGCUGUCAGAGGGGAGGAAAUGCCGUGGGGUUCACUCCACGGUUUGACCUAUCCUCAGAGGAAGGACGGGCUAAGUUCGUGCCAGCAGCCGCGGUAAAAC